GAUGAACGCUAGCGAUAGGCUUAACACAUGCAAGUCGAGGGGCAGCACAAGGUAGCUUGCUAUCUGGGUGGCGACCGGCGCACGGGUGCGUAACGCGUAUGCAACUUGCCCUAUACAGGAGGAUAACCCGUCGAAAGACGGACUAAUACUGCGUAUGCUCACAACUUGGCAUCAAGUGGUGAGGAAAGAAAUUCGGUAUAGGAUAGGCAUGCGUCCCAUUAGCUUGUUGGUGAGGUAACGGCUCACCAAGGCAACGAUGGGUAGGGGAACUGAGAGGUUUAUCCCCCACACUGGUACUGAGACACGGACCAGACUCCUACGGGAGGCAGCAGUGAGGAAUAUUGGUCAAUGGGCGCGAGCCUGAACCAGCCAAGUCGCGUGAAGGAUGACUGUCUUAUGGACUGUAAACUUCUUUUAUACGGGAAUAACAAGAGUCACGUGUGACUCCCUGCAUGUACCGUAUGAAUAAGCAUCGGCUAACUCCGUG
rnacentral:rRNA from 1 species